GAUGAAGAACGUAGCAAAAUGCGAUACUUGGUGUGAAUUGCAGAAUCCCGUGAACCAUCGAGUUUUUGAACGCAAGUUGCGCCCGAAGCCUUUUGGCCGAGGGCACGUCUGCCUGGGCGUCACGCAUCGCGUCGCCCCCCCACAAAUUCUCCGUCAGGGGAGCUUGUGUUUCGGGGGCGGAUACUGGUCUCCCGUGCGCCUCGUCGCGCGGUUGGCAUAAAUGCCAAGUCCUCGGCGACGCACGCCACGACAAUCGGUGGUUGCGAAACCUCGGUUGCCCGUCGUGUGCGGUCGUCGCGCAUCGAGGGCUCGAAAAAAUUGCCGGGCUCUGUUUCGGCUUUCAACGCGACCCCAGGUCAGGCGGGGUUACCCGCUGAAUUUAAGCAUAUCAAUAAGCGGAGGA
rnacentral:misc_RNA from 1 species